CGGGAGUGAAUCUUCUGGGCUCAACCCAAGAGGCUGCUUCCGAAAAUGCCAUGCUAGAGUGUGGGAGAGGCUCGUGGAAUUGCAGGUGUAGCGGUAAAAUGCGUAGAUAUCUGCUGGAACACCCGUGGCAAAGCGGCGCGCUGGACCACAACUGACGUUGAAUGACGAAAGCUAGGGGAGCAAACAGGAUUAGAUACCCUGGUAGUCCUAGCCCUAAACGAUCAGGACUUGGGGUGCCGCACGUUCGUGCGUCGUCCCGUAGCUAACGCGUUAAAGUCCUGCACCUGGGGAGUACGGUCGCAAGACUGAAACUCAAAGGAAUUGACGGGGGCCCGCACAAGCGGUGGAACAUGUGGUUCAAUUCGACGCUACGCGAGGAACCUUACCUGGGCUCGAAGCGCACCUGACUAGCUGUAGAAAUACGGCCUUCCCGCAAGGGACAGGUGUGGAGGCGCUGCAUGGCUGUCGUCAGCUCGUGCCGUGAGGUGUUGGGUUAAGUCCCGCAACGAGCGCAACCCCUGCACGUAGUUGCCACUCCGCAAGGAGGGAACUCUACGUGGACUGCUCCGGAUAACGGAGAGGAAGGUGGGGAUGACGUCAAGUCCGCAUGGCCUUUAUGUCCAGGGCUACACACGUGUUACAAUGCAGGGCACAAACCGUUGCCAACCCGCGAGGGGGAGCUAAUCGGAAAAAACUCUGCUCAGUUCGGAUUGCAGUCUGCAACUCGACUGCAUGAAGCCGGAAUCGCUAGUAAUGGCGUAUCAGAUCGACGCCGUGAAUACGUUCCCGGGCCUUGUACACACCGCCCGUCACAUCACGAAAGUGAGUUGUACUAGAAGUCGCCGCGCGAACCGCAAGGACGCAAGCGCCCAAGGUAUGACUCAUGAUUGGGGUGAAGUCGUAACAAGGUAACC
rnacentral:rRNA from 1 species